UACGGGGGGGGCAAGCGUUGUUCGGAAUUACUGGGCGUAAAGGGCUCGUAGGCGGCCAACUAAGUCGGAUGUGAAAUCCCCAGGCUUAACCUGGGAACUGCAUCCGAUACUGGAUGGCUUGAAUCCGGGAGAGGGAUGCGGAAUUCCAGGUGUAGCGGUGAAAUGCGUAGAUAUCUGGAGGAACACCGGUGGCGAAGGCGGCAUCCUGGACCGGCAUUGACGCUGAGGCGCGCAAGCCAGGGGAGCAAACGGG
rnacentral:rRNA from 1 species